CUCCCCGCAUGUCGCCCACCUGCUUCUCCAGGGAGUCCUUGGCCGAGAGGGAGGGCUUGGGGGAGGGUGCCCGGUCGCAGACGCAGCCCUCGAGCAGGUAGAGACCCGAGGGCCGGGAGCUGGAGUCGGUCUCGAAGUAGAAGAGCAUGUUGUGCAGCAGCGCGAACCACUUGGUGUGCCAUUUUGUGUGGUCGGAGCCCCGCUUGCUCAGGUAGCCCCUCCUGGCGCCGUCCUUCUUCGCCAGCAGCCCCAGGUGGCCCUCACUGUCCCUGCUCUAAACUGAAACUGUGAUCACCAGCACAGAGCGAGCACAGAAGCAGCUAAAGCCCUGACGAGGUGUUCAGCACGAUGCUGGCAGGAACUGGACUGAAGAUCCAGGCUGUAUCUGCUGUGGGGCAGCCCCACAGCCGUGGGUGCAGAUGCCCACGCACGCAUGGGAAGCCCAGAGCCUGACCUGACCAUGCAGUAGGGUGGGGAGAGGAUCCAGCAGAUCUGACCACGAGCAUCCUUCUGCUCCCAGCAGGCUCACACAGCCUCAGAAUAAACCCUUUCUAUAUUUA